rnacentral:rRNA from 1 species
GAUGAACGCUGGCGGCGCGCCUAAUACAUGCAAGUCGAGCGAACGGACGAGAAGCUUGCUUCUCUGAUGUUAGCGGCGGACGGGUGAGUAACACGUGGAUAACCUACCUAUAAGACUGGGAUAACUUCGGGAAACCGUAGCUAAUACCGGAUAAUAUUUUGAACCGCAUGGUUCAAAAGUGAAAGACGGUCUUGCUGUCACUUAUAGAUGGAUCCGCGCUGCAUUAGCUAGUUGGUAAGGUAACGGCUUACCAAGGCAACGAUGCAUAGCCGACCUGAGAGGGUGAUCGGCCACACUGGAACUGAGACACGGUCCAGACUCCUACGGGAGGCAGCAGUAGGGAAUCUUCCGCAAUGGGCGAAAGCCUGACGGAGCAACGCCGCGUGAGUGAUGAAGGUCUUCGGAUCGUAAAACUCUGUUAUUAGGGAAGAACAUAUGUGUAAGUAACUGUGCACAUCUUGACGGUACCUAAUCAGAAAGUCACGACUAACUACGUG